rnacentral:rRNA from 1 species
CGGCGGACGGGUGAGUAAUGUCUGGGAAACUGCCCGAUGGAGGGGGAUAACUACUGGAAACGGUAGCUAAUACCGCAUAACGUCGCAAGACCAAAGAGGGGGACCUUCGGGCCUCUUGCCAUCGGAUGUGCCCAGAUGGGAUUAGCUAGUAGGUGGGGUAACGGCUCACCUAGGCGACGAUCCCUAGCUGGUCUGAGAGGAUGACCAGCCACACUGGGACUGAGACACGGUCCAG